CGGCGAGUGAAGCGGGAUGAGCUCAAGCUUAAAAUCUCCGUGCAAAUUUUGCAUGGCGAAUUGUAGUCUAUAGAGGCGUGAUUAGCGUAGGCACUUGGGGCAAGUUCCUUGGAAGAGGACAGCAUCGAGGGUGAUACUCCCGUUUAUCUCCGAGUUGCUUAUGCGUACAAUCCGUUUUCUUUGAGUCGCGUUGUUUGAGAAUGCAGCGCAAAGUAGGUGGUAAAUUCCAUCUAAAGCUAAAUAUUGGUGCGAGACCGAUAGCAAACAAGUACCGUGAGGGAAAGAUGAAAAGAACUUUGAAAAGAGAGUUAAAGAGUACCUGAAACUGCUGAAAGGGAACCAAAUCGUUUCUAGUGUCUAUAAUCCGUGGUAUAUUUCAUUGGCGAAUGUGUGCGUGCAUGUACUAUGGCAGYGGCUUUUUGCUGCGCCUUGUGCGUGUGUGUGCACUUUCUCGCUGAUGCCCUGUACCGUGGUGGGACGUCAAUGUCGGUUCGUAAAUUGCGGGAAAUGACUGCCGAGGAGGUAGGGCGAACGCUUGCGUUUGUCUGUUAUAUCUUGGCGGACGUAGUAGUCGCGGUUGGGACUGAGGUGCCUACAAUGUGCUUAUGAGUAGAAUUGAUUCUUCGUGUGCGCCGUGUGCGGAUAGCUUGCUAUGCGUGUGUGGCUGUGUGUGGAUUGA
rnacentral:rRNA from 1 species